rnacentral:rRNA from 1 species
ACGCUGGCGGCGUGCCUAAUACAUGCAAGUCGAGCGAAGUUUUUCUGGUGCUUGCACUAGAAAAACUUAGCGGCGAACGGGUGAGUAACACGUAAAGAACCUGCCUCAUAGACUGGGACAACUAUUGGAAACGAUAGCUAAUACCGGAUAACAGCAUUAACUGCAUGGUUGAUGUUUAAAAGUUGGUUUUGCUAACACUAUGAGAUGGCUUUGCGGUGCAUUAGCUAGUUGGCGGGGUAAAGGCCUACCAAGGCGACGAUGCAUAGCCGACCUGAGAGGGUGAUCGGCCACACUGGGACUGAGACACGGCCCAGACUCCUACGGGAGGCAGCAGUAGGGAAUCUUCCGCAAUGGGCGAAAGCCUGACGGAGCAACGCCGCGUGAGUGAAGAAGGAUUUCGGUUCGUAAAGCUCUGUUGUUAGGGAAGAAUGAUUGUGUAGUAACUAUACACAGUAGAGACGGUACCUAACCAGAAAGCCACGGCUAACUACGUGCCAGCAGCCGCGGUAAUACGUAGGUGGCAAGCGUUGUCCGGAAUUAUUGGGCGUAAAGCGCGCGCAGGUGGUUUAAUAAGUCUGAUGUGAAAGCCCACGGCUCAACUGUGGAGGGUCAUUGGAAACUGUUAAACUUGAGUGCAGGAGAGAAAAGUGGAAUUCCUAGUGUAGCGGUGAAAUGCGUAGAGAUUAGGAGGAACACCAGUGGCGAAGGCGGCUUUUUGGCCUGUAACUGACACUGAGGCGCGAAAGCGUGGGGAGCAAACAGGAUUAGAUACCCUGGUAGUCCACGCCGUAAACGAUGAGUGCUAAGUGUUGGUCUCAUAAGAGAUCAGUGCUGCAGCUAACGCAUAAAGCACUCCGCCUGGGGAGUACGACCGCAAGGUUGAAACUCAAAGGAAUUGACGGGGACCCGC